rnacentral:rRNA from 1 species
CAGUGGCUAUUUGACUCAACGCGGGGAAUCUUACCGGGUCCGGACACACUGAGGAUUGACAGACAAUUGUCUUUUUGUCAAAUUUAAAGACAAAAGAUAACAGAUCUUUCAUGAUUAUGUGAUGGGUGGUGCAUGGCCGUUCUUAGUUCGUGGAGUGAUCUGUCUGCUUAAUUGCGUUUCAAAUAUAUUUUAUUAUAUAACGAGUCUACAAAGGAGUGGUUCAUUAACAGACAAUCAUAUCUUUGAGCGUCUGGAAUCUACUCUAUUUGGCUCAAUUGAACGCAACGGACGUGAUCGCGAGUCCUUGUUGAACUUCAGUAUAUAUUGACUUUCCCCGUAGGAAGGGAUUGGCAAUAAUUGAAUGUUCGCUUUCUAUAGGUGUGUAUGAUUAAUCUCAAAAUUACAUGUAUUUGUAGUGGCGAGUAUAAUUACUAUCCUAUAGGAAAACUCGGGCGACCGCUGUAAUAUUUCUCUUUAAAACAGAGGAAGAUUGCGGCAAUAACAGG